UACCGCGGUUAUACGAGAGACCCAAGUUGACAAGUUCCGGCGUAAAGCGUGGUUAAGGAAAAAUAAACACUAAAGCCGAACGCUUACUAGGCUGUUAUACGUUUACGAAAGUAAGAAGCACAUCCACGAAGGUGGCUUUAUUCCCCCUGAACCCACGAAAGCCAAGAUA
rnacentral:rRNA from 1 species